rnacentral:rRNA from 1 species
CUGCCCAAUGAGGAUUUAAAUGGCCGCGGUAUUUUGACCGUGCAAAGGUAGCAUAAUCAUUAGUUUUUUAAUUGAAAGCUGGAAUGAAAGGUUGGAUGAGAAAAUAGCUGUCUCUAUUAAAUUUAGUUAGAAUUUUAUUUUUAAGUAAAAAAGCUUAAAUAAAAAUAGAAGACGAGAAGACCCUAUAGAGUUUGAUUAAUUAAUUUUAAAAUUUUUUUGGUAUUAAUAUUUAUUUUAAGAAAAAUUAAUUUAGUUGGGGUGAUUGAAAAAUUUAAAAAACUUUUUUUUUAUUUGAACAUUAAUUUAUGAAUAAUUGAUCCUUAAGUAAAGAUUAAAAGAAAAAAUUACCUUAGGGAUAACAGCGUAAUUUUUCUAGAGAGUUCAAAUCGAAAGAAAAGAUUGCGACCUCGAUGUUGGAUUAAAAUAAAAUUUUGGUGUAGAAGCUAAAAUAUUUGGGUCUGUUCGACCCUUAAAAUUUUACAUGAUCUGAGUUUAAACCGGUGU